rnacentral:rRNA from 1 species
AUUAGAGUUUGAUCAUGGCUCAGAUUGAACGCUGGCGGCAUGCCUAACACAUGCAAGUCGAACGAAGGCUUCGGCCUUAGUGGCGCACGGGUGCGUAACGCGUGGGAAUCUGCCCUCAGGUUCGGAAUAACAGCGAGAAAUUGCUGCUAAUACCGGAUGAUAUCGCGAGAUCAAAGAUUUAUCGCCUGAGGAUGAGCCCGCGUAGGAUUAGCUAGUUGGUGUGGUAAAGGCGCACCAAGGCGACGAUCCUUAGCUGGUCUGAGAGGAUGAUCAGCCACACUGGGACUGAGACACGGCCCAGACUCCUACGGGAGGCAGCAGUGGGGAAUAUUGGACAAUGGGCGAAAGCCUGAUCCAGCAAUGCCGCGUGAGUGAUGAAGGCCUUAGGGUUGUAAAGCUCUUUUACCCGGGAUGAUAAUGACAGUACCGGGAGAAUAAGCUCCGGCUAACUCCGUGCCAGCAGCCGCGGUAAUAAUC